GACGAACGCUGGCGGCGUGCUUAACACAUGCAAGUCGAACGGAACGGCCCUGCUUGCAGGGUCCUCGAGUGGCGACCGGGUGAGUAACACGUGGGUGAUCUGCCCUGCACUUCGGGAUAGGCCUGGGUAACUGGGUCUAUUAUCGGACAGAAGCCAUAUUUCGUGUGGUUGUUGGAACGUUUUUUCGGUGUAGUCUGAGCUCGCGGCCUAUCAGCUUGUUGGUGGGGUAAUGGCCUACCCAGGCGGCGACGGGGAGCCGGCCUGGGAGGGUGGCCGGCCACAGUGGGACUGGGAUACGGACAAGACUCCGACGGGAGGCAGCAGUGGGGAAGAGUGCUAAAUGGGCAUAAGCCUGAGGCAGCGACGCCGCGGGGGGGAUGACGGCCUUCGGGUUGUAAACGCAUUUCGCUAGGGACGAAGCUGUUUGUGACGGUACCUAGAGAAGAAGCACCGGCUAACUACGUG
rnacentral:rRNA from 1 species